rnacentral:rRNA from 1 species
ACUGCCGGGGUCGAACUCGGAGGAAGGUGGGAGUGACGUCAAUCAUCCAUCGCCCUUAUGUCUUGGGCUUCACGCAUGCUACAAUGGCCGGUACAAAGGGCUGCGAUACCGCGAGGUGGAGCGAAUCCCAGAAAGCCGGUCUCAGUUCGGAUUGGGGUCUGCAACUCGACCCCAUGAAGUCGGAGUCGCUAGUAAUCGCAGAUCAGCAACGCUGCGGUGAAUACGUUCCCGGGCCUU